UCCAUUGCUCAGUUGGUAAAGCACAAAGCUCUUAACCUUGUGGACGUGGGUUCAAGACCUACAAUGGAA
rnacentral:tRNA from 1 species